rnacentral:rRNA from 1 species
UUAAGCUUGUGAAGGGCAAAUGGUGGAUGCCUUGGGUAGUAGAGGCGAUGAAGGACGUACUAGACUGCGAUAAGCUAGGGGGAGUUGUCAAGAAACUUUGAUCCCUAGAUUUCCGAAUGGGGCAACCCAAUAUGUAGCAAUACAUAUUACCUUAAAUGGAGCGAACCUAGUGAAGUGAAACAUCUCAGUAACUAGAGGAAAAGAAAUCAAACGAGAUUCUCUUAGUAGCGGCGAGCGAAAGGGGAAUAGGGCAAACCGAAUGCUUGCAUUCGGGGUUGAGGACUGCAAUAUCCACUAAAAUACUCUAAUAGAACAUUCUGGAAAGGAUAGCCAUAGAGGGUGAUAGUCCCGUAUAUGAAAGAGUAUUUUUAGGUAGCAGGAUCCAGAGUAGGUCAGGACACGUGAAAUCCGGGCUGAAGCUGGGGGGACCACCCUCCAACCCUAAAUACUACUACUACACCGAUAGCGAACCAGUACCGUGAGGGAAAGGUGAAAAGAACCGCAGUGAGCGGAGUGAAAUAGAACCUGAAACCAUUUGCCUACAAUCAUUCAGAGCCCUAUGAUUUAUCAGGGUGAUGGACUGCCUUUUGCAUAAUGAUCCUGCGAGUUGUGGUAUCUGGCAAGGUUAAACUAAUGUGAAGCCGUAGCGAAAGCGAGUCUGAAAGGGCGCUUAAGUCAGAUGCUGCAGACCCGAAGCUGAGUGAUCUAUCCAUGGCCAAGUUGAAAGUGGGGUAACACCCACCGGAGGACUGAACUCGUACCCAUUGAAACGGGUUGGGAUGAGCUGUGGAUAGGGGUGAAAGGCCAAUCAAACUCAGUGAUAGCUGGUUCUCUUCGAAAUAUAUUUAGGUAUAGCCUCAAGUGAUAGUAAUAGGGGGUAGAGCUCUGAUUGGGCUAGGGCUGCUCACCGCGGUACCAACCCCUGUCAAACUACGAAUACCUAUUACCGUAUCUUGGGAGUCAGGCGGUGGGUGAUAAAAUCAAUCGUCUAAAGGGGAACAACCCAGACUACCAACUAAGGUCCCAAAGUUCUAUUCUAAGUGGAAAAAGAUGUGAAGUUACUUAGACAACCAGGAGGUUGGCUUAGAAGCAGCCAUCCUUUAAAGAUAGCGUAACAGCUCACUGGUCUAGUGAUUUUGCGCUGAAAAUAUAACGGGGCUAAGAUAGACACCGAAGUUGUAGAUUGUGCUGAUGCACAGUGGUAGAAGAGCGUUCACAUCAGCGUUGAAGCCAUACCGGUAAGGAGUGGUGGAGCGGUGUGAAGUGAGCAUGGCAGGAAUGAGUAGCGAUAAAAGUGGUGAGAAUCCACUUCGCCGUAAAUCUAAGGUUUCCUACGCUAUGCUCGUCAUCGUAGGGUUAGUCGGGUCCUAAGACAAGUCCGAAAGGGGUAGUCGAUGGAAAAUUGGUUAAUAUUCCAAUACCAACAUUAGUGUGCGAUGGAGGGACGCAUAGGGUCAAGACAAGCUAGCCGAUAGAAAUGCUAGCCGAAGGGUGCAAGUUAGGAGAUUGGGCAAAUCCGCUCCCGUAUCCCAAACCCAACAGGCUUUCUGAAGUCUUCGGAUGGAUGAGAGAAUUGUUAAGAUCGUCGUGCCAAGAAAAGCUUCUAAGUUUAGCUAAUGUUGCCCGUACCGCAAACCGACACAGGUAGAUGAGAUGAGUAUUCUAAGGCGCGUGAAAGAACUCUCUUUAAGGAACUCUGCAAACUAACACCGUAAGUUCGCGAUAAGGUGUGCCUAAGCAAUUAGGUCUCAGCAAAGAGUCCCUCCCGACUGUUUACCAAAAACACAGCACUUUGCCAACUCGUAAGAGGAAGUAUAAGGUGACGCCUGCCCGGUGCUCGAAGGUUAAGAGGAUUAGUCAGCCGCAAGGCGAAGCUUUGAAUUGAAGCCCGAGUAAACGGCGGCCGUAACUAUAACGGUCCUAAGGUAGCGAAAUUCCUUGUCGGUUAAAUACCGACCUGCAUGAAUGGCGUAACGAGAUGGGAGCUGUCUCAAAGAGUGAUUCAGUGAAAUGUAGUGGAGGUGAAAAUUCCUCCUACCCGCGGCAAGACGGAAAGACCCCGUGACCUUUACUACAGCUUGGCACUGCCGAUGGGAGCAUUAUGCGCAGCUAGGUGGGAGGCUAUGAAAUCUUUACUCUGGUAGAGAUGGAGCCAUCGUUGAGAUACCACCCUUAAUGUUUCUGUCUGCUAACUAGCUAGAGUUAUCCUCUAGUAGGACAAUGCCUGGUGGGUAGUUUGACUGGGGCGGUCGCCUCCUAAAAAG